rnacentral:rRNA from 1 species
UACGUAGGGGGCAAGCGUUGUCCGGAUUUAUUGGGCGUAAAGAGCGUGUAGGCGGCCAGACAGGUCCGUUGUGAAAACUCGAGGCUCAACCUCGAGACGUCGAUGGAAACCGUCUGGCUAGAGUCCGGAAGAGGAGAGUGGAAUUCCUGGUGUAGCGGUGAAAUGCGUAGAUAUCAGGAGGAACACCUGUGGCGAAAGCGGCUCACUGGACCAUAACUGACGCUGAUGCACGAAAGCUAGGGGAGCAAACAGG